GAUGAGUAGGGCGGGACACGUGGUAUCCUGUCUGAAUAUGGGGGGACCAUCCUCCAAGGCUAAAUACUCCUGACUGACCGAUAGUGAACCAGUACCGUGAGGGAAAGGCGAAAAGAACCCCGGCGAGGGGAGUGAAAAAGAACCUGAAACCGUGUACGUACAAGCAGUGGGAGCACGCUUAGGCGUGUGACUGCGUACCUUUUGUAUAAUGGGUCAGCGACUUAUAUUCUGUAGCAAGGUUAACCGAAUAGGGGAGCCGAAGGGAAACCGAGUCUUAACUGGGCGUUAAGUUGCAGGGUAUAGACCCGAAACCCGGUGAUCUAGCCAUGGGCAGGUUGAAGGUUGGGUAACACUAACUGGAGGACCGAACCGACUAAUGUUGAAAAAUUAGCGGAUGACUUGUGGCUGGGGGUGAAAGGCCAAUCAAACCGGGAGAUAGCUGGUUCUCCCCGAAAGCUAUUUAGGUAGCGCCUCGUGAAUUCAUCUCCGGGGGUAGAGCACUGUUUCGGCAAGGGGGUCAUCCCGACUUACCAACCCGAUGCAAACUGCGAAUACCGGAGAAUGUUAUCACGGGAGACACACGGCGGGUGCUAACGUCCGUCGUGAAGAGGGAAACAACCCAGACCGCCAGCUAAGGUCCCAAAGUCAUGGUUAAGUGGGAAACGAUGUGGGAAGGCCCAGACAGCCAGGAUGUUGGCUUAGAAGCAGCCAUCAUUUAAAGAAAGCGUAAUAGCUCACUGGUCGAGUCGGCCUGCGCGGAAGAUGUAACGGGGCUAAACCAUGCACCGAAGCUGCGGCAGCGACGCUGAUGCGUUGUUGGGUAGGGGAGCGUUCUGUAAGCCUGCGAAGGUGUGCUGUGAGGCAUGCUGGAGGUAUCAGAAGUGCGAAUGCUGACAUAAGUAACGAUAAAGCGGGUGAAAAGCCCGCUCGCCGGAAGACCAAGGGUUCCUGUCCAACGUUAAUCGGGGCAGGGUGAGUCGACCCCUAAGGCGAGGCCGAAAGGCGUAGUCGAUGGGAAACAGGUUAAUAUUCCUGUACUUGGUGUUACUGCGAAGGGGGGACGGAGAAGGCUAUGUUGGCCGGGCGACGGUUGUCCCGGUUUAAGCGUGUAGGCUGGUUUUCCAGGCAAAUCCGGAAAAUCAAGGCUGAGGCGUGAUGACGAGGCACUACGGUGCUGAAGCAACAAAUGCCCUGCUUCCAGGAAAAGCCUCUAAGCAUCAGGUAACAUCAAAUCGUACCCCAAACCGACACAGGUGGUCAGGUAGAGAAUACCAAGGCGCUUGAGAGAACUCGGGUGAAGGAACUAGGCAAAAUGGUGCCGUAACUUCGGGAGAAGGCACGCUGAUAUGUAGGUGAAGUCCCUCGCGGAUGGAGCUGAAAUCAGUCGAAGAUACCAGCUGGCUGCAACUGUUUAUUAAAAACACAGCACUGUGCAAACACGAAAGUGGACGUAUACGGUGUGACGCCUGCCCGGUGCCGGAAGGUUAAUUGAUGGGGUCAGCGCAAGCGAAGCUCUUGAUCGAAGCCCCGGUAAACGGCGGCCGUAACUAUAACGGUCCUAAGGUAGCGAAAUUCCUUGUCGGGUAAGUUCCGACCUGCACGAAUGGCGUAAUGAUGGCCAGGCUGUCUCCACCCGAGACUCAGUGAAAUUGAACUCGCUGUGAAGAUGCAGUGUACCCGCGGCAAGACGGAAAGACCCCGUGAACCUUUACUAUAGCUUGACACUGAACAUUGAGCCUUGAUGUGUAGGAUAGGUGGGAGGCUUUGAAGUGUGGACGCCAGUCUGCAUGGAGCCGACCUUGAAAUACCACCCUUUAAUGUUUGAUGUUCUAACGUGGACCCGUGAUCCGGGUUGCGGACAGUGUCUGGUGGGUAGUUUGACUGGGGCGGUCUCCUCCUAAAGAGUAACGGAGGAGCACGAAGGUUGGCUAAUCCUGGUCGGACAUCAGGAGGUUAGUGCAAUGGCAUAAGCCAGCUUGACUGCGAGCGUGACGGCGCGAGCAGGUGCGAAAGCAGGUCAUAGUGAUCCGGUGGUUCUGAAUGGAAGGGCCAUCGCUCAACGGAUAAAAGGUACUCCGGGGAUAACAGGCUGAUACCGCCCAAGAGUUCAUAUCGACGGCGGUGUUUGGCACCUCGAUGUCGGCUCAUCACAUCCUGGGGCUGAAGUAGGUCCCAAGGGUAUGGCUGUUCGCCAUUUAAAGUGGUACGCGAGCUGGGUUUAGAACGUCGUGAGACAGUUCGGUCCCUAUCUGCCGUGGGCGCUGGAGAACUGAGGGGGGCUGCUCCUAGUACGAGAGGACCGGAGUGGACGCAUCACUGGUGUUCGGGUUGUCAUGCCAAUGGCACUGCCCGGUAGCUAAAUGCGGAAGAGAUAAGUGCUGAAAGCAUCUAAGCACGAAACUUGCCCCGAGAUGAGUUCUCCCUGACUCCUUGAGAGUCCUGAAGGAACGUUGAAGACGACGACGUUGAUAGGCCGGGUGUGUAAGCGCAGCGAUGCGUUGAGCUAACCGGUACUAAUGAACCGUGAGG
rnacentral:rRNA from 1 species